rnacentral:rRNA from 1 species
CGACAGGCUUAACACAUGCAAGUCGAGGGGCAGCACAGGUAGCAAUACCGGGUGGCGACCGGCGCACGGGUGAGUAACGCGUAUGCAACUUGCCUAUCAGAGGGGGAUAACCCGGCGAAAGUCGGACUAAUACCGCAUGAAGCAGGGGCCCCGCAUGGGGAUAUUCGCUAAAGAUUCAUCGCUGAUAGAUAGGCAUGCGUUCCAUUAGGCAGUUGGCGGGGUAACGGCCCACCAAACCGACGAUGGAUAGGGGUUCUGAGAGGAAGGUCCCCCACAUUGGUACUGAGACACGGACCAAACUCCUACGGGAGGCAGCAGUGAGGAAUAUUGGUCAAUGGCCGAGAGGCUGAACCAGCCAAGUCGCGUGAGGGAUGAAGGUUCUAUGGAUCGUAAACCUCUUUUAUAAGGGAAUAAAGUGCGGGACGUGUCCCGUUUUGUAUGUACCUUAUGAAUAAGGAUCGGCUAACUCCGUGCCAGCAGCCGCGGUAAUACGGAGGAUCCGAGCGUUAUCCGGAUUUAUUGGGUUUAAAGGGUGCGUAGGCGGCCUUUUAAGUCAGCGGUGAAAGUCUGUGGCUCAACCAUAGAAUUGCCGUUGAAACUGGGGGGCUUGAGUAUGUUUGAGGCAGGCGGAAUGCGUGGUGUAGCGGUGAAAUGCAUAGAUAUCACGCAGAACCCCGAUUGCGAAGGCAGCCUGCCAAGCCAUUACUGACGCUGAUGCACGAAAGCGUGGGGAUCAAACAGGAUUAGAUACCCUGGUAGUCCACGCAGUAAACGAUGAUCACUAGCUGUUUGCGAUACACUGUAAGCGGCACAGCGAAAGCGUUAAGUGAUCCACCUGGGGAGUACGCCGGCAGCGGUGAAACUCAAAGGAAUUGACGGGGGCCCGCACAAGCGGAGGAACAUGUGGUUUAAUUCGAUGAUACGCGAGGAACCUUACCCGGGUUUGAACGCAUUCGGACCGAGGUGGAAACACCUUUUCUAGCAAUAGCCGUUUGCGAGGUGCUGCAUGGUUGUCGUCAGCUCGUGCCGUGAGGUGUCGGCUUAAGUGCCAUAACGAGCGCAACCCUUGCCACUAGUUACUAACAGGUUAGGCUGAGGACUCUGGUGGGACUGCCAGCGUAAGCUGCGAGGAAGGCGGGGAUGACGUCAAAUCAGCACGGCCCUUACAUCCGGGGCGACACACGUGUUACAAUGGCGUGGACAAAGGGAUGCCACCUGGCGACAGGGAGCGAAUCCCCAAACCACGUCUCAGUUCGGAUCGGAGUCUGCAACCCGACUCCGUGAAGCUGGAUUCGCUAGUAAUCGCGCAUCAGCCAUGGCGCGGUGAAUACGUUCCCGGGCCUUGUACACACCGCCCGUCAAGCCAUGGGAGCCGGGGGUACCUGAAGUCCGUAACCGAAAGGAUCGGCCUAGGGUAAAACUGGUGACUGG